ensembl:miRNA predicted gene, 44453
GGUUUCUCUGUGUAGCUUUGGCUGUCCUGGAACUAACUCUGUAGACCAGGCUGGCCUCGAACUCAGAAAUCCACCUGUCUCUGCCUCCCAAGUGCUGGGAUUAAAGGCAUGUGCCACCACUGCCCA